UGCCAGCAGUCGCGGUUACACCGAGAAAUUAAGUCAUAUUUAAACGGUAAAAAGACAGUUAGACAUAAUUCCUUUAGGUUUACCUGACUUUCUAUAAAAAGGUAAAAUUUGUAUAUAGUUAUGAAAUUUAAUUUAAAACCGUAAAGUUGAAUCUGUGAUAGCCUAGAGGGAAACUGGGAUUAGAUACCCCACUAUUCUUGGAUGUAAAUUAAAUUUAAUUUACCUGAGUACUAUGAACACAUAAAUUUAAAACUCAAAGGACUUGGCGGUAUUUUAGACUAUUUAGGGGAACCUGUCUCAUAAUCGAUAGUCCACGCUAUACCUAACCUUUUUUUGCUUUCAGCUUGUAUAUCGUUGUCGUCAGGUAACUUUUUAGAAACUAGAAGUUAGCUAAAAAUAAAGUAAGUUUAAACGUCAAAUCAAGGUGCAGUUAAUAAAGAGGUGAGGAUGGGUUACAAUUAUUUACUUAUAACUACGGAGAAUCAUAAGAAUUUGUGAUUACUAAGGAGGACUUAAAAGUAAAUUAGAUUAUAUAAAUAAUUUGAAUAAGGCUCUGAAAUGUGCACACAUCGCCCGUCACUCU
rnacentral:rRNA from 1 species